GGCCUGCUGGGAAGGCUCCUUCUCCUCACAGGACCUCCUGGGAGCCGCAGUCCACCUGUCGCCUCCACCAGGGAGGGAGACACGAAAUACAGGGAGCUACAGAGGGGGCACGCUGAGCGUUGCCAUCUCCCACACCCUGUAUGCUAGGGGCUGUGGUCCCAGUCCCCACCCCAAGUACCAUCUCUGCUCACAUCUACUUGCAGGCAACACCGGGGAGAUGAAGACCAUGGAGCUUCCCAACGCGAGGCCGAUUGGGAACUUCAGUCCUCCUGUCAUCGCCCUCCUCCGCUAUCACCAGGGGACGCCGGGAGCAGAUUAAAGGGAAAGGCGAAACCCACAGAACUUGGAAGGGAUCUUACCUGAACAGUCAGUUUCCCCAACGCGGGCCACAGCUGCACGGGGAAAUCCUACUCCCUGUGGAGACGGAGGAAGGCACCACCGCCUGGGAGGGCGCUGCUCCCUGGACGCUGGCGGAUGCAGUCCCGCGUCGCGGUCCUCAGAGGACUUGCAGCCCGCGCCCCCACCCGGAAGGACGACGUCUCCCGCCCCGAGGGGGAAUCCCGCACUAAGGCCGUGGUAGGGGCUUGUCCACCACCUAUUUAUUUAUUUAUUUGUUUGAGACAGAGUCUCGCUCGGUGCCUCAGGCUGAAGCGCAAUGGCGCGAUCCCGGCUCAACGCUACCUCCGCCUCCCGGGUUCAAGCGAUUCUUGUGCCUCAGCCUUCCGAAUACCAGGGAUUACUGGCGCGCUGGGAUUACAUGUCCGGCUAAUUUUUGUAUUUUUAGUAGAGACGGGGUUUCGCCAUGUUGGCCAGGCUGGUCUUGAACCCCUGAGCCACCACCGUUUAAUGUCGCUCUCUCUCUCCUGUCCCUCCUUGAGUCGGUCUCCGAACGCCCGGCGCAAGGCACUACUCAGAAUUGGAGGGGGAGGGGAGCCUCAAGAGCCAGAGAAAAAGACGGCUGAAGAGGCGCGUAAAACGUCAAGAAAGGAAGGCUGCUGUGAAGCGGCAGCUGCUGGCUAGCCUCGCGGAAGCUCCCGGGCCGAGAGGUGCGCUGCGAGGGGGCGUGGCUCCGCGGAUAAUACAGCCCCGCCUUUGCGCGCGAGCCGAGCCCCUACUGGCUUGCACGCACGCGCAGUCGGUGGGUCCUGCGCGCUUCCCGCCAAAAUGCGGUGGCGGCUUUUCCGAGCUCCAGCGAGGCGGCAAUGAGAUUCUCGUAGGGCACGGGGCUGGCACAAAAAGGAGCCACUGGUCCUGCUUAGACACCUGCCCCUGCUCCCUCCCGACGCCCUGAGACACCAGGUUUUACACACGGAGUCCAGAGCCUCUGUGUGUGUGUGUGUGUGGUUUUUUGAGAAGGAGUCUCUCUGUUGCUCAGGCGGGAGUGCAAUGGCGCGAUCUCAGCUCACUGCACCUCCGCCUUCCGGGUUCAAGCGAUUCUCCUUUCUCAGCCUUCUUUGUAGCUAGGAUUACAGGCACAUGCUACCACACCUGCCUAAUUUUAGUAGAGAUGGGGUUUUUCCAUGUUGGCCAGAUUGGUCUUGAACUCCUUACCUCAGGGGAUCCUACCUUAGCCUACCUCAGCCUCCCAAAGUGCUGGGAUUACAGGCGUGAGCCACCGCGCCCGGCCUUCUCAUGGCUUUUGUUUCGUGGCUUUUCCUGGCCUGGCAGGUCUGGAGCAUUGCCUUUAUGAAGGGCUACAUGGGGACCCCCAAAACCACUAAAGAGCCGGCUGUGUGUGCAAGCCAGUGAUGCAGGGCCUCUGUCACAAAGGCCAGAGCAUCCCACGCACUUCCCAGCAGGCCAGGGACAAUGGCAUAAUGGCUCAGAACACGCCUGGAGUCUGACUCUUGGCCCUGCCACAUUCUGACUGUGUGGUGGGGCUUUUCCUCACUGGGAGGAAGGAAGAUGAUAGUUUUAAGUAGUGUUGCCACAUUUUAUUUAGCAAAUACAAAUGCAGGACACCCAAUUGAGUUUGGAUGUCAGUUAAAAGAGAAAACAGAAUUUUUUAGCAUAUAUGUCCCAAAUAUUGUUGAACUGUAAUUCAAAUGUAACUGGGCAUCGAGUUCAAAUGUAACUGUAUUUUAUCUAGUAGCCCUGCUUAAAGGCAUUGUUUGGAGACAAUGCAUGAACAGUUCUGGAACGGUGUCUGGCACAUGUAAACACACAAUGAAGUCUAUUAAUAUAAAAGGUCACACUCCCUCAGAACAUAUUAGUGUCUCUACUCAUCCAGCUGUAGGAUCUCAAAUGGCCAGCCCUCAGAAAGUCACUCUGUCCUAAAAGUUUAAAUCUCGCCAUCCCACCACAGUGUAGUGACCCCUUUCCACUACCACAAAGUACCAGAUUUCCCCUGCCUUCCAGCACUUGGCACAUUCAUGUGGGGAUUUUCAUGCUCUUCAUGUUGCUGCUUUCACUGGAUGUAUGGGGGAAGGGCUGGGGGAAUCUGAGGCAUUAUGAUGUCGGAGCCAGCGACACUCUUUCUACAGGAAAUUGUAGCUAGAGUCUGUCUCUUCUAGAAUUAGGGGCACGUAAUCCUCUGUGUGAGCCAGGAGGCAAUGGAGAUUCAGUGGGGAAGCCUAAGAUGUUGUUUGUAUGAUGUUAAUAACAAGCUUUCCCCAUGGGGUGAAUGUAUAUUGAGUGGCAUUGGUCGCACUGAGCUCAUUAAGACAUCUGCGGUAGAUGAGAUGAAACUUUGUUUAAUCUGAGAAGUCCAAAGGAAAAAGAAGUUGAAGGGGACAACCUAGGUUUAUAAACGUUCUGUAAUCCAAGAUGUCUAUAAAGAGCUGGGAUGUCACUAGGAAAUCAUCUUCACCCAGACUUAUUCCUGAGUGGAAAAACUUGAAUUUCCUCAUAAAGAAGAUCCUGAAGGACAUAAAGAUUGAUGAAGAACCAAAGAAUGACGUGGUUAUACUGAGUGACUGGCCUGAGACUCUAUACCAGGAGUCCCACCAUCCCCAGAACAAGCCUUUUGUCUGCUUCUACUACUCCAUCAAGGUCAACUGUUUUGUUUCCUUAAACUGAUGGAACCAUAUGGAAAAAUGCAGGCAGUACUUUGGAUACAGAAAACGGGUACAGAAAUGAAAGGAAUGAUAGAGAAGAUGAGGCUUCGCAUGAUGGAUCAGCUGCCGCCCACCCAAGCAAUGGUCCACACAGGUUCCUACCAUAUGUUAGUUGCUUACUGUGGUGACAUGUGCCUGAGGCUUUUUGGAAAUCACCGUCGAGGGUUCAGAUUUCUGGGUAUAGUGCCCUGUCAUUUCUCCAUCAGCUGUCUCUUCUAUGACCCAGAAACUGAGUUGCUGCUAUCUGGUACCCUGGGGGCUGUGGUUACCUGGUUUAUCUUACCAAAUGGCAGGGACAUUGAGAUGGCUCAAAUAGUACCUAUGGCUAACCAUGAGCUUGUACAGGGAUUUUCCAUGAAUGGCCCCCAGGGAUCUAUGUUUGCUCUGUGUGAGGAUACAGUGAAGGUCUUCAUUCACCGGGGUCAGGGCCAGCUGGAAGAAAUGAAGAAGUUCACUCCAGUAGCCAGUGGCUCUUCCAUCACUUGCUCCUUUGCUUGUGUCUCUCAGGGCAAUUUCUAUGCUGGAAACAGGACUGGAGAGAUCCACGCUUGGGGUUUAGACCAAGUAUUCGUACCCAGAUUUGUCUACCUUGGAAAAGGGCGGCAGGAAUUACGGGGGCUGGAGACCCUUGUCAACAAACGGUUCAUUGCCUUUGACAAUACUGUGCCCCAUGUUGUAGAAGAAGAAAGAUGCAAACCCCUUGUGACUGAAAAGAAAGCCAUAUUUCCUUCUUUGGAGAAUGAGGAUAUUGAUUUGUCUACUCUUGACUCCAAGCAUAAUCGUCCCCGACAUUGGGUUCCUGCUCAGUUGCGGCUGGCUGGCUGGGAUGGAUUAAAUGCCUACCAAAUGCUACAGUGCUUCUUUGGUCAAGGGCGACUAUGGCCCUUUGCUCCUGAUGGCUACAUCCCCAACUCAGUGAUCCGUGCCCGCCUAUGGCCUGAGGGUACCCCAGUCUUCCUAUCCUGUGAUCUAUAUUCAUCCUACCAAGUUAAGGACUGGAAAUUAUCAUCUAUGAUUCUAGUAGAAGAGAACAUUUCAAGGAGUAAACAGAAGGAUAAAUCCAAGGAGAGAAAAGGAAGUUUCCUUGAUAUUCUUGAAAGCAUGGCAAAACCAAAUUGGAUGACAAGAAAAGAGAGUGGAAGGCUUAUGGAUGAUUUAGUAGAGGCCAUCCUCAACCUUACAAUUUACUGCUCUUUAGAGGAAUGCAAGAGAUAUUUUAGGAUACUUCAAUGUAUUUUUGCCACUUGCCAGAUAUCUCCAGCAUUGGUUUCUAAGACUGCUCAUUGCCUCCUGCAAGAUACAACCCAUGCCAAUCCUCAGAUCCGUGAGCUAGCCUGGGAGCUGGACAGGCUAGGCCUCAUGAACCAUUAUUUUGCUAUUCCAUUGGCUAUGGGAUUGAUGGACAGUGAUGAGAAUGUGCAGGCUAAGGCCUUAUACAUUAUGGUAAGAGUCACAGGCAUCCAAACCAAGACCAGGCUGGUACGCCUGCUGAAGAAAGAAGAAACUCCAGAAAAUUAAGCAAGAAAUUAUAGGGGAAGUCUCUCUGGGCCAACUGCUGAAUAUUCAAGCUGAAGAUAUACAGUCCCUGCUUACUGCUGUGGAGCAGCAGCUAAAUGAAAACUUGACCUUGUUACAAAGAGAAAAACCAUUUACUUUUUCUUUUGAUAUGCCAUGGUCUGAAGAACUUAAGGUCUUUUCUGAAGAAAUGCUUGUACCUUUGUCAGAAUCUGUAAAGAUCACAAAAGGGAAGAAAAGAAAGCAACGUUUUAAAGCAAGGAGCAGAAAGCUUAUUAAAAGGGACCUGAGAGUUGCCAGGAAGCAAAAAAAGACAAAGUUGGAAAAGUCUAGUUCUGUGUUGACACCUUCAGAAGAUGCUGGUGAACAAAGAAAGGCCAGGAAAUCAGAGCAAUUUGAAACCCAGGAUGUUGUCUUAGAGCCAGAGCUACCACUGAGUACUUUAAGUGCAGUCCAAUCCCAGGAUGAUGCUGAAACAGAGGAGGAGGUCAUUUUGCAAGCUAUAGAGGCCAUGGAGGCCACAGAUGCCAUGGAAGCCAUAGAUCAAGGUAGCAUGAAAGAUGAUGGAUCUGUGGUCUCUAAGCUGGAAAAAAAAGAAUGCAUUAAAAGGCUUUGGAAAAAGGCAAUGAGAAAAGGCCUCAGAAUAGCAGAUGUGCAGAGGAAAGAGAAACCAGAUUUGAAGGGCAUUUCAGAGGUGACUACAGAAGAACCUAAGGAAGAAGUCAUAAAAAUUGAUGAGCAAGAAGAAGGCAAAAGGAAGAAACACAAAAGGAAGAAGAACCAGGGUUUGGCUGGGACCCCUGGACGUGUGGGUAGACCAGACACCAUAUCUUGGAGGGAUGACAUUUGCUCUCUUGUCACUUCAAGGAUAGCAAGUUCUCAACCAGGAAUGUUAAGGGAUCUGGGCAAAGAAUUGGUAGACCUAGCUGGGGUGAUACUUGCUGACCGACAGCCCAGCUGGAAUCUCUUCCAAGAGAUAUGCCCCCUUUUAAAAGACUCAAGCUCAGUCUCAUUAGAAUUAGAUGACAGAGUAGUGGAGGAAACACCCACCAUAACAAAAAAGUCAUUAAAGGGGUUGUCAAGGACAAAAGGACAGCAAUAUUGACAGAACAAGAGGAUAAAAAAGGGUUAAAGGAAGAUGAGGAAUUUUCUCAAGAAGGAAAGAAAGCUGUUUUCCCAGCAGAUCGCCUAGUCUCAGAGAAAAGGAAAUUUAAAAGAAAAGUGAGGAAAUGGGCCCAGCAAGAAGGGAAAAUAGCUAAGGAAGAAAGGAAACUCACAAAGCCAGAGGAAAAAAUGCAGAGAAAGUAGAAACCAACCAAAGAUAAAAAGAAACUGACCCAUCCAGAAGAAAUAAUGGCUCAGGAAGAAGAAGUACGUGCUUCCCCACAAAAGGAAUUAGUCAUGGAAGAUCAGAUGUUAGUCCUAGAAGAAAAAGGACUAACCAGAAAAAGGAGAAAACUACUAGGGAAAGGAAAGGAAGUGAUCAGGAAAAAGAGGAAACCAACCCUAAAAAAGGAAAGGUUGGAAUGGAAAAAGAUACAGGCCCAGGAGGAAAUCAUGAGGGUCCAGGAAGAGGAGCUGGCUGAGGAAGAGGAGGAGCUGGCCAGGGAAGAGGAGGAGCUGGCUGAGGAAGAGGAGGAGAUGGCUGGGGAAGAGGGGGAGCUGGCUGAGGAAAAGGAAGCACUAAUCCUAGACACAGAGAAACAAGUUAGAGAAAGGAAGAAACACAUCUGGAGAAAGGAGAAACAUGUGGAGGAAGAGGCCCGGGAACUGGGGAAAAUGGUUCAGGAUCAUUUGUCCAUGUCAGAGGAAGGACUGUCCAGGAAAAAGAGAGAACAGACAUUAGAAAGGGAGACCUUGGCAGAGCAAGAGAGUAAAUUAAUCCAAAAAGAGAAAUGGUUUGGCAAAGAGGCUCUUUAUGGGAAACAUGAGGAACAAGACCAGACAGAGAGGCGAGCUCAAAGAGAGGAGAAAGAGGCCAAGGAGAGCAAACAGUUAGCCUGGAAAAGAAAGAAACUGUACCUAGAAGUUGAUGAAAAGUUUGGAGAACUGGAAGAAUUGUCACAAGAGGAAGAGAAAUUAGCUCAAAAAAUGGAGCAGGAAGCUGAAAAAAGAAAACGGGCCAGAGAAAAAAUGAAACAGGUCUCAGAAGAGAAAACAAUUACAGAGGAAAUCAAGAAAGGGUCUCCAAAAGAAGAGAAGCAGCCCAUAGGAAAAGAAAAAAAAGCUAAGAAAAAGAAGAAACAAAUUGGGAAAGAUGAGAAAGCAACUGAGGAAGAACAAUGGACCCAGGAAAAACUAGCCUUACAAAAGGAGAAAGUGGCCCAGGAAGAGAGAAUAUGGAGUCAGAAAGACAAGAAAUGGUCCCAGAAAGAUGAGAAAGAGGUUGAGCCAAAAAAACAACAAGUCCAGAAAAAAGAGAAAUUGGCCCUAGAAGAGGAGGAACAGGCUGGUCAAAUGGAGGAACAGUUCCAGGAAAAAGAGAAAGAGGCCAAGGGAAAAAAGAAAAGGGCAUUGGCAAAGAGACUGGCCCCAGAAGACAGUGAAGUGGCCAAGAAAGAGAGUCAUAUUGCUGAGAAAGAAAAGGCAACGUCCAGGGAAAGAAUUGGCAUAACUAAGAAAAAGAAAAAAAUAACCCAAGAAGAGAAAGAAAUGAUAAAAGAAGAGGGUGAAUUGGCCCAGGAAGACAGGCAACUGGCCUAUGACGUUAAAACCAAGGAGAGGGAUGUUGCCAAGUAAAAAAAGAAAACCAAAGAGGAAAGAAAACAGGCAAUGAGAAAACUGGAUAUGGAAAAAGGGAUUGGUUCUGAAGAGAAAGAGGCUCACUCCAGGGAAGAAAAUAUAAGAAUGAAAGAGAAUCAACUGUUUGGGAUCCUGGCAGGAAUAGUUAGAGAACUGAUUACAGUUCCUUCAGAAGAAAGAGAAAUAACUGAGGAAGAGAUAUCAUCCAUUAUGGAAAAAAGUGAAAUUGAUGGCCACAGGUGGGAAUUUUUUAAGAAACAGGAGGAAAUAAUUGAAGAAGGGAAGGAGCAGGCUGAAAGAGAUAGGAAACUAGAAGAUAGACUGGCCACCAAAGAGAGAACGCUAACUGAUAAAGAGGGCUUGGAGGAGGACCGAAAGUUCUUAGAGGAGGUCCAGGAAAAGAUAAUAUUCAAUAAAAUCCAGGUACACAGACUCUGUUAAAGAAGUUUCAGAAGACAAAUUUGUUAGAAAAAAGGCACAUACAGGAGCUUCUGAAGAGAAUUGAGAAGCAUGAGCUGGAGAAGACUCAGAUGAAGUGGUUAUUAGAUAAUCUCAGAGGUGUACUAUUUGAGGACUUAUAUAAGAGCUUGACUGAGAAGGAAACAGAGGAAGGUCUAAUUACGAAGGGGAAAGAGGAGGAGAUUCUGCCCAAGAAAGAGAAAAGGAAACAUCUGAUUAAGAAGAAGAAAAUCAGUACAAGUGAAGAGGAACUGGAAGAUAACUUGGCUAAGAAGCUAAAGAAAAAGGGUUUGACUCAAACAAGGAAAAUGGAAAGGAGUUUGAAAGAGAGGCUGAGUAAGAAAAAAGAGGGCCCACGAGAGGAAGAGGAGAGCCUUAGUGAAGAGGAGUGGAGGUGCUGGAGUGAGGAGGAGGAAGAGGUGAGCCUGAGUGAGGAGGAGGAGAGCCUCAGUGAGGAGGAGGAGGAGGAGAGCCUCAGUGAGGAGGAGGAGGAGGAGAGCCUGAGUGAAGAGGAGGAGGAAGAGAAAAUGGAGGAAAAAGAGAAGGAGGAGGAGGAUGAAAGGCAGAAGGAUGUGGAAAGCCUGAGUAAAGAGAAGGAAAAGGAGAGCAGACUUAUGGAGGGAAUGUUCUCAGAAGAGGAGAGAGUAUUGAAAACAAAGCUCUCAAAGGAAAAAGUGAGAUUAUCCAAGCUGGUGAUAGAAGGUGAGGAUCUUGCUGAGAAAAGGGAGGGUACAGCUAAAGGAGAAAGGCAUUUUAAGAAAGAAGGCUUGAUUGAUGUAAGGAGACUCCAGACUUAUGGACAAGGCUAUGUGGCCAACAGUUCUGAAGAGCCCCUCCAAAAUACCAUUCCAGAUAACCCUGGAGGGAAAAGAGAGAAUGCCCCUGAAAGUGUCAGAGGAUCACUGGGAUUUGGAAGACAGACAGGGCAGUCAGCUUCUUGGAGUACAGCCCAUGACAAGUUCAUUGGGAAGACAAGAGAAUGAACUCCUGGAGAAAGCCAGGGGUAUGUUUUUACAAGCCAUGGAAAGAGGCUUAGAGACCCAGGUUCCAGAAGGUCGCCGUAGGCUGGAGUUUCAAUUGUCUGAUACUUUCGUGGAACCACAGAAACCUAAACGCAGACCCAAAAGUGAAAGGUGGAAGUGGUUCUUGGGGUAUCAGGAUUCUCUGAUGGGGGAAACUGAGGGCCAGGCUCCAGCUCCAGCCCCAGCCCCAGCCUUUUCACCUGAAAUGGCAGGUAGGAGAUAUCAAAGGCCAGCCUUCUCAGAAGCAAGCUUUUCAGAUGAGGAUUGGAUUAACAAUGCCUUAAAAAGGCUGGAAGCAGGAAAGCAACUUUCCAGGGAGAGUUUUCAUCGGCUGAGUCAGAUCCUCAGAGACUUUACUUCAAAGAGAUACUUGAAAUGGAUGCUUCUUUCUAAUCUUAAGGCCAUUGCUAAACAUCUCAGGCAGAACCUAGAGUUAAGUCACACGCUGAUACAUUACAACCCUGUAAGGACGUUUUGAGUCCAGUGCACUUAAAAGAGAUCCCUCCAAUUAGAAGAAAAGAAACAGAGAAAUGGUUGAAGCCAUUCUCUAUCCCCGAACCAGUGUUACCAUCAGCCAUCAAGAGGACUCAGACCCCACAGGCUCUCAGCUGGCAUCUCUUAGCUGAGUCCUAUAGAAAGAAGCAGGCACAACAGUUAUCCACUGCUCUCAAGGAGAUAAAGCACCUUUAUCCAGUCAGAAGGGAUGUUCCUAUAGCCGUCUGUCCCUCUGUGGAUAAGAAAUCUCUAGCCUUGAAAUUAGAGAAGGACUUCCCAGCCUUGAGGAGGAGGGGUGAGAUCUCCAAAUUUCCAAUGACAAAGAAGGAAGCACUGCCCAUGCCUGCUCUGGCAAUACCAUUAAUUACCAAGAGAAUUCAAGAUCCCAAAGCUAUAAACUGGCAUCUUUUGGGAGAGCCUUACAGGAGUGCAUGGGUACAACAGUUAUCCGAUGCCCUCAAAGAGAUGGAGAGGCGACAUGUCUCUGCCACGAGAGACAUUUUCACAGGUGCCCAUGCCUCUGUGGACAAACAAACUCUAGCACUAAUGUUUCAGAAGGAUCUCAGGGCUUUUAAGGGUAAAGGCAGGCCCCCUAAAUUGCCCAAGUUGGAGAAGGCAAAACCCAUCUCUGAAAAGAAGGAAGAGAGGCCUUUGUGGGAGACAUUCGUGGCACUGUACCAUGUUUUGCGGAUGCUGCAGCAGCGAUAUGGAAAAGACAAUGCUGCUUGGGUGGAACAGUUCAACCAGCUCAUGGAGCUGUACCAACUUAAGUCCCCCCGAAUCCAGAGGCUUCUACUAGAGUUAGUGCAAGGAGAGCAACUUCAGCCCCAAGAGACCAUCUACCAAAAUGCCCUGGAGACCAAGGAUCUGGUGGAGGGUGAGCGGUUGUUCUACCACCUGUUUUGUGGUCAUUCCCAUGGCCCUGCAGGUCCCCUCAAGUUCCAGAAUGUGGUACCCCUCCCUAGGCAGAACAGAGUCCAUGCUAUCCAGUCUGAGGGCAUUGCCCAGUAUGGCUUCCUAGAACUUGCCUGGAAAAGCCUACCACACGUCGGUCCUCAUCGCAUCGGGAGGCUACCCAGUAUUCCUACUCCUACCCUCUGAUUAGGCUUAAUAUUAGAACUUUGGAAUCCUAUGGGAAAAGGAGCUACCUGGGUCACAGACUUUAAGCGUCCUUACUUGUUCCCCGCUUUGAGGUGGGGCUAGAUGAAGACCUGCCUCUAUUCAGCUCCAGAAACCUGAUACUGAAUAAAGUGACAUUUCUCAGUUGUAAAAAAUAUUCUUGCUUCUCUUCCUCUUCAGGCCUAGAAUCCCUUGGAAAGUGGCCAGAGAAAACAGAUGCCCUUUGUCCUAAGGCAGACAAUUUUUUCAGUCAGUGCAAUAUAUCCUUUGGAGGGCAAGGGCCAGUACCUAAUCACCUUUUCAGAGAAGAGUCUGUCCCAGCACUCUUUCUCUUUGGCUACUAUUUCCUUUCCUUAGAAGGUCUUGGAGAGAUAGGUGAGCAUGGCGGCUCACGUCUAUAUAAUCCCACUGCUUUGGGAUGCUAAGGCAGGCAGAUCACCUGAGGUCAGGAGUUAGAGAAAUAUUUUUAUCCAGAAUAUAAAAAUGUUCUCUUUAACUCAAUAAGGAAAGAAACCUCAAUUCAGUGGGAAAAUGGACAAGAGCCUUGGAUUGGCAAUCCACAAAAUGAAAAAUUCAUAUAUAAUAAAUAUGAAAAGGUGUCCAACCUCACUACUGGUAAUCAGAGAAAAGCAAAUUAAAACUAUAAUGAGGUGGAUACUACUACCACAUUCACCAGAAUGGCUAAAAAUAAAAAGACAACAAAAAUGCAAAUGUUGGCAAGUCUGUAGAACAACACUCUACAUUUCUAGUGUGAAUAUAAACUGGCACAAACACUUUGGAAAAUAGUCUGACAUUAUCAAACUAAAACUGAAAAUACACAAAACCUUGCGCCAUAAUUACACUCCUAAGAUAUAUAACUGACAGAAACACAUACAUAUCUGCACCAGGAGACACACAGAUAAGAAUAUUCACAGCAGCAUUACUAUAGCAAAUAGAAACAGAAACAACUCAAUUUCCAUCCAUAGAAUGGAUAAAUUAUAGUAAUGCAAUAGAAAACUAAUCAGAAAUAAAAAUGAACAAACUAAUGAGCAAUGGAGUCAAGCAUAAAAUAUACAUAGAUCAUGAUUCCAUUUAAAUUAAGUUUAAACUAUUAUCAUUAGGAAUGCAAUUUUGAUUAUAAAACUUUCAUGAAGACUAAGGAGAGUGAUUACCAUAAAUGUCAGGAUAUGACUUACACUGUAUUUAGGAUGGCGGGUAGGGGCAGU